GUAACACGUGAGUAACCUGCCCCUGACUCUGGGAUAAGCGUUGGAAACGACGUCUAAUACUGGAUAUGAUCACUGGUCGCAUGGCCUGGUGGUGGAAAGAUUUUUUGGUUGGGGAUGGACUCGCGGCCUAUCAGCUUGUUGGUGAGGUAAUGGCUCACCAAGGCGACGACGGGUAGCCGGCCUGAGAGGGUGACCGGCCACACUGGGACUGAGACACGGCCCAGACUCCUACGGGAGGCAGCAGUGGGGAAUAUUGCACAAUGGGCGAAAGCCUGAUGCAGCAACGCCGCGUGAGGGAUGACGGCCUUCGGGUUGUAAACCUCUUUUAGUAGGGAAGAAGCGAAAGUGACGGUACCUGCAGAAAAAGCACCGGCUAACUACGUGCCAGCAGCCGCGGUAAUACGUAGGGUGCAAGCGUUGUCCGGAAUUAUUGGGCGUAAAGAGCUCGUAGGCGGUUUGUCGCGUCUGCUGUGAAAUCCCGAGGCUCAACCUCGGGCUUGCAGUGGGUACGGGCAGACUAGAGUGCGGUAGGGGAGAUUGGAAUUCCUGGUGUAGCGGUGGAAUGCGCAGAUAUCAGGAGGAACACCGAUGGCGAAGGCAGAUCUCUGGGCCGUAACUGACGCUGAGGAGCGAAAGCAUGGGGAGCGAACAGGAUUAGAUACCCUGGUAGUCCAUGCCGUAAACGUUGGGCGCUAGAUGU
rnacentral:rRNA from 1 species